rnacentral:misc_RNA from 1 species
GAUGAAGAACGUAGCGAAAUGCGAUAAGUAAUGUGAAUUGCAGAAUUCAGUGAAUCAUCGAAUCUUUGAACGCACCUUGCGCCCUUUGGCUAUUCCGAAGGGCAUGCCUGUUUGAGUAUCGUGAACACCUCAACUCUCAUGGUUUGCCAUGAUGAGCUUGGACUUUGGGGGUUUUGCUGGCCUUUGGUCGGCUCCUCUCAAACGGAUCAGCUUUCCAGUGUUUGGUGGCGUCACGGGUGUGAUAACUAUCUACGCCUGUGGUUUUCUGCCAGAUAACCUUCAGCGAUGGAGGUUCGCUGGGGCUCAUAAAUGUCUCUCUUCAGUGGAGACAGCUUUUUGGACGUUUGAUCUCAAAUCAGGUAGGACUACCCGCUGAACUUAAGCAUAUCAUAAGCGGAGGA